AGGCAGGUUUAAACAUGCCGACUGUGUUAGCAGCGGAAGAGUUUAAGGCGGAUGAGAUCCUCUGCGUGGCCCUUCACCCAGGAUGGGUGAAAACUGAACUGGGUGGAGAAAAAGCACCACUUGAAUCAAAAGAAAGUGUGGAGGGGAUGCUGCGUGCCAUUGGCAGCCUCACUGAGAAGCAGCACGGAGGAUUCCUGGACUACACUGGAGAAACAAUUCCCUGGUAAACCAGAAGAACAAUAUGGUCGCGAAAAGGCUGAUCCAGGUCCAAACUGACCUAUUUAUCCCAAUAACCAUAAAAGGCACACAAGGAUUUAUGACAGAAACAUGACAAUUUUAUGCAAUUUAAUACAGUAAAACUCUUAUCAAUUAAAUGGUUUUAUUUUGGUUUAAUUUUCAUUCCUUAUCAUGUUUCCGUUUGCCUUAAUUCGGUUUGUUCAAUAUUUUCUAUAGUUACUGAGUACAUUCCCCUGUUCUGUUAAUUAUCUUCUUUACUUUUCCUUGUUAUUUAAGCCCAGUCUUCCCUGUAUUCAAUGUUUGGUGUCAUCUUAGUAGUGUUGUGGUUGCAUUCUCUAUGUAUUCCUUGGAUUUUGAAUUAAAGACUAUGCUGACUGUGUCUUUGUCUUCAUAUGCUUGUCUGUAGCUGCCACUUGUGACACUAAUAUGACACUUGGGGACGUAUGC